UAAAGGCACAGUGCAGCUCAUGACCAAUCCUCUCUACCAGUCAGGGGAGGAGCUGAACAGACAGACAGCAUCAUGGUGAGAUCUGAUGAAAGUGCCUGAGUGGAAAGAACUGAAUCCACACAGAUCUGCAUACCAGCCUCACACAUGAACUACACUAUGUGCUCUACCAUGAUGAUUCCUCUAACAGUGCUACUGUUUUCAACCUUCUUGGGUAAGAGUGCUGGAAACUCUAUUGUCCCCAACACUGCAGUGAAGCAUGCAACAGAAGGAGAAAAUGUUCAGCUCGUCUGCAAGUACAAUGGAUCUGUUGACAGUCUGCACGGGUAUCGCCAGUUCACUGACUCAGUGCCACAGUUUCUCAUUAUGGAUUAUCAAGGCUACAUAACCAAUGCAACUCCUCCUGUUCCUGGGAUAUCAAUCAAGCAUGACACAACAGCAAAGCAAGUUUCACUGGAGAUCUCAUCUGCUGAAGUCUCAGACUCUGCUGUCUACUACUGUGCCCUGAGGCCCACAGUGUCAGGAAACCCAGCUGCACUGAACAAAAACCCUCCCAGCUAA